CUAAAAGUUCUAUACUGCAGAGGAGACAGAACUUUCCUUUGAUGUGAAGAUUACCUUUUCUGAUGUUAUGGAAAGUUCUCUCUGCCCUCCCCACUCAGAUGAGGAUCAGAUGAAAGGACGCUGGAUGAAGCUGCACCAACAGCAGGGCCCUCCCCUAGAGUGACCAGGCCUCCGGCGGGCGGGCGAGAGACAGGCUGGGGCAAGCCCGGCAGGGUGGGGAGGACACGGGACCAGGGACACGACCUGCAGAAUGGCACCUUGGAGCGCUUUGGCUGAGAGCAGUGUAACCCGCCACCGUUGUCACAGGCCCUGGAACACACACAAACCCUGGAGGAGACUCGCUGGAGCAGCCCCGGCACACGCCUCCCCAGAACCAGGGAAGGAUGCCGGCCAUGGGCAGCUGUCCGCUCGGCCACCGAGUUAGAGGAGCGAUGUCCAGACGCCCGGGACCGUGGACAAGCCCCAGCCAGGUGAGGCCUGCCCAGAGCUCUGACACUGGCUACUCACUCACCGGCUGCACACCACCUGUCCUGGUCAGACAGGAGCAGCCCUGGGGUUGCUGAGGACCCGGAUGACGGCUGACCAGACCACAGGGAGGGUAGAGUGGGUAUGUGGCCUCCUGCUGGGAGCGUGACUCUGGUUGUAAGGGAGAUGACACCCCCACCUUCCCGUGGGCUGUGACCACUGAGAGAACCAC